rnacentral:tRNA from 1 species
UCCUCGUUAGUAUAGUGGGUGAGUAUCCCCGCCUGUCACGCGGGAGACCGGGGUUCGAUUCCGGGACAGGGAG